rnacentral:RNase_P_RNA from 1 species
GACGGGCAGAUGAUCGCGGCUGCAGAGACGAAAGACUGCAGGUGAGGAAAGUCCGGGCUUCAAAGGGCAGGAUGCCGGAUAACGUCCGGUGGAGGCGACUCCCAGGAAAGUGCAACAGAAAAGAACCGCCGGCUUCACGCCGGUAAGGGUGCAAAGGCGGUGUAAGAGACCACCGCCCGGGUGGUAACAUCCGGGGCCAUGUAAACCCCAUCCGAAGCAAGACCGAACAGGACAGAUCGGCGGCCCGUCGGUUGUCUCUCUCGAGAGGCAACACUGUCCGGGUAGGUUGCUUGACUGCAGCGGUGACGCUGCAGCUAGAUAGAUGAUCAUCCACGACAUAACCCGGCUUAUCGCCCGUCUUUU